CCAGACAGAUGGGCCUCGAUCCCACGAGAAUUUAGUUAACAGCUAAACACCCAAGCCAGCGGGCUUCUACCUG
rnacentral:tRNA from 1 species